UUAGCAACGACAUAUUGCAUCGGGAAGCUCAUAUCGACUAUUCAUGUGAAAUUUCAUCAUGAAAUAAAAAUGGCUGAAGAAAACCACGGGUGUUUUGCGUGGCUCAUAAGUUUUAAAAAUUCGUGCAACGAAAGGUGGGCGAGAUUCAGAAAUCGCUUCCGCCAAGGGUUCUUUGUCAUAAAGGGUGAGGUACUUGAUCCAGAAACCUUGUUAAAUGAAACAGGGGCUCGUGACAUGGUCAUCAGGAAAACUCCUUACAAGUCAAAUCAAGUAGUGCCUCAGAGCCUGGCUCCUGUGACUGCUGUAAAAGACGAUGCAAUUCUUAUUGAAAAUGCUUCACUGACGGAAACUACAGAUGAAGAUUUUGACACACUUGUUGGGGAAUACGUGUUUUGCAUUAUAGACAAGGCUGCAGACUCACUGAGACAGGCGUCGCCGGGCAACACAAAAUCUAUCAGGGAGAAAUCAGCCGACGACGGCGUGUCAUUGUCGUCAAGUAUCAUAAGCCAAAUUGCUGACAUAGCUGUGACCGAGAGUUUGUCAAACGUAGUGUUAGAAGACGACGUCAACCACUCUGCCAUUCAUGAUGCAAGACCUAAAACUAUCAAAGAAUUUAUGGGAAGUAUGUUGGCACGUGCUUUCUAUGGAGACAUUGCAGAAGAACAUCAAGCAUGUAUAGAACACAGUUACCGGGAUAGUCUUUCCAAAGACUAACUGGCAGUUUCUCACAGCAGUAAAAGAAGACUGACUUAAAAACAGACCUUCGGCAUUGUUGGAGAUGAAGUUGCGGAUGAUGGUCUACCAACAGUUAGUUUGUAAGAGGCCAAGAAGAGACUACAGGCCAAUUAUGUUUUGUUAUAUUUAUUUGUUACUAUCAUUUACUGCAUUUUAAAACACUGAAUCACGCUUGAAAAAUAAAAUAAUUUUGAGGUUCUGAAUUUUAUUUCUCGUGAAUAAAAUUUAUCGAAACUCAAAAAUGUGUUUGUUUUUAAGGAAUAUUUAUAGGUUAUUGGCUUUGUAUCGGGAAAUAUGCACGAGUUCUCAGCGGAAAUAUUGCGCGACUUUAGGA